GGAGUCUGACACCGGACACACACUGUACCUAUAAAGAGUUUUCACGUUACGCUUUAUUUUUGCGGACUGAAAAGAACAGAACCUGAACAGAAUGUCUGCAUCACAGUGGAUCCUUUUCCUCUCCCUUUCAUGGACGCUUCAUUCCAGAGGUGUUUGUACAGCAUCUUCAGAAUCUGUCACCAAACCGGUCAUCACUUACACAUGUAACGAUACCACCUGCACCUUGUCUUGCAACGCUGAGAACUGCUCAUCAUACAGCUGGAUGGGGAAUGGAGAAGUAAAGGAGAAUGAAUGCACACUGAUGUUGGAGAAGAGCAAUAACAUGGGGAACAUGUAUGUAUGUCUAUGCAGCAGUUCCGUGACUGACAUGAAGUGUGGUCCUAGCCUGGAUAAAGAGUUACUUCCUGAAGGUAGCAUGAAGGGCUGGAUUGCAGCUGCUGUUAUUAUACCGGUGAUCGCAGUACUAGUCCUGGCUGCUGUAGCAUAUCACUGCUUUGUACAGAAAACUAUCAAAGCAACAAACACAGAUGUUUCUGACACCAGUACCACAGGCGAAGGGGUAGCAAAGAAGCAAAAUAUAGCGCCUGCUGUCGAAACCAGAUGGAAUGUUGCCCCCGAGACGCCCGCUCUGAAACACGAGUAAAGUGCGGUCAGAGGUAAAGGACCAGUAAGAGCCUCAUGGUGCCGUCACUUCUGACCUCAUCUUUAUGGUUUUCUUCUGGUUUAUUCUAGUUCUAGUCAUAUUUGUUAUAAAGAUGCUCUUUUUAUUUUCAGCAUAGCCUUUUCUGGGAAAAUCAACAAUGUUUGACGGUGUCAAUUCUGCACCCAAGGAAAACUUUGGUUCGACGUUAUUCUUUUUUCACCAUCUAGGGGAGUUUCUGUAUUCGUGUUUAUUAUCCUGCCUAGUCAUUCAGCACGGGUGCUGUGCGUCACUAUGGACAGAGGCAUUUGCAGAAAAAACAAAUGUAAAUGAGUCUCAUAGGGCCCCGUGGCUCCACAUACUGAUUUACACACCUGCUAUAAGAAUAAUUCCAGUCUCAGUGUGUUUGGAUUGUUGCAGUUCUUGGGUUCAGCCUUUAGGUGUUUUCUUGUUGUUACAUAUUGUGUAAGGUGCUGCUGGAAAGUGUAUGAACCCUAUAGAG
rnacentral:lncRNA from 1 species